UAACGGUGGGGACUUUAGUGAGACUGCCGGUGAUAAACCGGAGGAAGGUGGGGACGACGUCAAGUCAUCAUGGCCCUUAUGGGCAGGGCUACACACGUGCUACAAUGGGUAAUACAAGAGGGGCGCCAACCCGCGAGGGGGAGCAAAUCCAAUAAAAUUAGUCUCAGUCCGGAUCGAUGUCUGCAACUCGACUUCGUGAAGUUGGAACUCGCUAGUAAUCGCGUAUCACGCAAUGGCGCGGUGAAUACGUUCCCGGGUCUUGUACACACCGCCCGUCACACCAUGGAAGUUGGUUGCACCAGAAGUGAAUAGUUUAACCCUUUGGGGAGGGCGUUCACCACGGUGUGGUCAAUGACUAUGGUGAAGUCGUAACAAGGU
rnacentral:rRNA from 1 species